GACGAACGCUGGCGGCGUGCUUAACACAUGCAAGUCGAACGGAAAGGCCCUGCUUUUGUGGGGUGCUCGAGUGGCGAACGGGUGCGUAACACGUGAGUAACCUGCCCUUGACUUUGGGAUAACUUCAGGAAACUGGGGCUAAUAUCGGAUAGGAGCUCCUGCUGCAUGGUGGGGGGUGGAAAGUUUCGGCUGUUGGGGAUGGACUCGCGGCUUAUCGGCUUGUUGGUGGGGGAGUGGCUGACCAAGGAUUUGAAGGGUAGCCGGCCUGGGAGGGUGACCGGCGACAUUGGUACUGCGGGACGGCCCAGACGCCAACGGGAGGCAGCAGGGGGAAAUAUUGCACAAUGGGCGGAAGUGUGAGGCAGCGGCGCCGGGUGCGGGAUGACGGCCUUCGGGGUGAGAACCGCUUUCGCCUGUGACGAAGCGUGAGUGACGGUAAUGGGUAAAGAAGCACCGGCUAACUACGUG
rnacentral:rRNA from 1 species